AUUGAACGCUGGCGGCAGGCCUAACACAUGCAAGUCGAGCGGAUGAAGGGACUUUGCUUCUGGAUUCACCGGCGGACGGGUGAGUAACGCCUAGGAAACUGCCUGGUAGUGUGGGAUAACGUUCGGAAACGGGCGCUAAUACUGCAUCCGUUCUGAGGGAGAAAGUGGGGGUUCUUCGGACCUUACGCUAUCAGAUGAGCCUAGGUCGGAUUAGCUAGGCGGUGGGGUAGAGGCUUGCCAAGGUGAUGAUCCGUAACUGGUCUGAGAGGAUGAUCAGGGACACUGGAAUUGAGACACGGUCCAGACUCCGACGGGAGGCAGCGGUAGGGAAUAUUAGACAAUGAGCGUGAGCCUGAUCCAGCCGUGCCGAGUGUGUGAAGAAGGUCUUGGGAUUGUAAAGCUCUUUAAGUUGGGAGGGAGGGCAGUAAAUUAGUUCCUUGCUGUGGUGACGUUAGCAGCAGAAUAAGCACCGGCUAACUUCGUG
rnacentral:rRNA from 1 species